UACGUAGGGACCAAGCGUUGUUCGGAUUUACUGGGCGUAAAGGGCGCGUAGGCGGCGCGGUAAGUCACUUGUGAAAUCUCUGAGCUUAACUCAGAACGGCCAAGUGAUACUGCAGUGCUAGAGUGUGGAAGGGGCAAUCGGAAUUCUUGGUGUAGCGGUGAAAUGCGUAGAUAUCAAGAGGAACACCUGAGGUGAAGACGGGUUGCUGGGCCGGUACUGACGCUGAGGAGCGAAAGCGUGGGUAGCAAACAGG
rnacentral:rRNA from 1 species